CAUAUUUCUGUCAAUAGACAAGGUUCUGCAAAGCUUUUAUUACAUCAUGUUGGAAAAUGAAAGAUUGUGACCUCAAACCCCCAUGAUCCAAGUGAAAAUGAAAUGAGUGUAUACACAUAGGCACAAUUCAGGACACAGAACGUUUGGUACACAAAGAAUGAUGAGACGGGUUCCUACCCAGCACAAUUCCAAUUCAGUAGUUUCUCUCGCACGUACCAGCUCAGCUGCCCACGAUCCGUGCUGCUUUUAAAUACUACAAAGCAAUUUACACUCCAACUGCCGCCCGCUUAAGUUCUUCCUUUUGCGCUCAGAAAUGGAAAUACUUGGACAGUGAGUGAUGCCCUGUUGCAGCUGCCUCCCCGAGUCCUUCAGCAACCCAUCUCUGAGCCUCGCUGGGUUAAGCCCCGCUGCUCCAAGCUCAUUCUCCCCACCAGCAGGCAACCGGUCGGCCGCUGGGCGGAGAGAACGGGCGCUAGGGCGCCAUCUGGAGGCGCCUCGAGGCAGCUGCAGCAAACUUAGAACAACCCUUGUUCAUCUCUUGAAGAUUAGUUCUACAUUUCUACCCAACAGAUGCUUUUGAAAAAACAUAGUUACCAAUGGCUUUGGAACUUCUACAAACAUGUACUUCUACAAACAUGAACUUCUACAAAUAAAAACCUUUCAA
rnacentral:lncRNA from 1 species